CAGAUAUGUACAAAGUCCAUGUUUUUUUUUUUUUGUUUGUUUGUUUGUUAGUUUUAACAUCAAAUUCGCAGAAACAAAGGAGGUUAAGCCAGCCCAGAAAUAUGUUGUGGUUGGCCUCUUGAAGGGGUUAUCAUUAUAGAUGUUGAUGGGACAAAGCCUAUUUGUGAAGGCUGUUUGUCCCUGGAGAUUGUGUUCUGCAUUUUCUCAGCUAACUCUUGAUUAUGAACACAUCCCAGAUUGGCUGCCACUUUUUGAAAUUUUCCUAAGAGGUUUCUAAAUAAACCUAUAAGCAGGUUCUUGGCUUAGCAGAUCCAGUCAUUAGCUAUCAGAGAAAUACAGAAUAUUAGUCUAUUAUAGUCCUAAUAAAUGUGUAAGCCCUAAGAUAACUAUCGUUACAGCCCCUAUACACUGAAGGUGGAUGAGUCCAGGAUUGGACCAUGGUCAAGAUUUCCAUCUGUGCAAGGCAACAAGGAUCUGAAAGCAGCAACAACUUUUUUUACCAUCACACUAACAUAUAAAAAUCAAGAAUGUAACUUACCAAAAAUAUUUAUAGUCCUGUGACAAGAUUUUUACAUUGCUCACCAAAAGGAAGUUUACUUAUCAUAUCUUCUAGGAUGUGCUGUAAGGUGUGCUCCUGCUACUUUUUCAUCUCUGCAGCCAGUAUUGGCAUGCUUCUGAAAUGCUGUCACUGUCCCUUCUUGCUUCUAGGCUAAAAAUCAAACCGAUGCUGCAUGGCCAAUGAAGUGGAACCGCAUAUGUGACAUUUGUGUAAAGGAAGUGAAAACCAUGCAUUAUUUUCAGAUGAAGAAGAAAACAAAGAAAAAUACACUUGGAGUACACUUCUAUUUUGUUUUUCCAGAUGAUCAGAUUAAAGUCACUGUGACUAUAUUACUUUGAAGUUUGCAAUUUAAAGUACUGUUUUUCCCAACUCGUAACAAUAAAUGGGGGGAAAAAAUGACA
rnacentral:lncRNA from 1 species